rnacentral:rRNA from 1 species
GAUGAACGCUGGCGGCGUGCCUAAUACAUGCAAGUCGAACGGACAGACGGUGAGCUUGUGCCUCUGCCGUUAGCGGCUGGCGGGUGAGUAACGCGUGUAUCACCUACCUAUAUUUCGGGGAGAACUUCGUAAAACCGGAUCUGAUACCGUAGAAUAUGUUGAACCGCAGAGUGCAAUAGUUAAAGGCGGUUUUGGCGUCACUUAUAGAUGGAUCCGGGCCGGAUUAUCUGGGUGGUAAGGUAACGGCUUACCAAGGCUACGAUGCGGAGCCGACCUGAGAGGGUGAUCGGCCACACUGGAACUGAGACACGGUCCAGACUCCUACGGGAGGCAGCAGUAGGGAAUAUUACGCAAUGGGCGCAAGCCUGACGGAGCCAGGCCGCGUGAGUGAUGAAGGCCUUCGGAUCGUAAAGCCCUGUUAUUAGGGAAGAACAACUGUGUAAGUAAACAUGGCCGUCUUGACGGUACCUAAUCAGAAAGCAACGGCUAACUACGUG